rnacentral:rRNA from 1 species
CCCUGCUCAAUGAUAUGUUAAAUAGCCGCAGUACUUUGACUGUGCAAAGGUAGCAUAAUCAUUUGGCUUAUAAUUGAAGUCUGGAAUGAAUGGGAGUAUGGGUAGUAACUGUCUUACCCUAAAUAAGUGAAUUUACUAAUUAAGUGAAAAUUCUUAUAACUAUAUAACAGACGAGAAGACCCUAGAAAUUUUAUAUAUUUAUGUUUACCUAAGCUAUUUUGUUGGGGCGACAGAACAACAUUAAACUUGUUUAUUUUUAUUUGACCUUAUUGAAUAGUGUAACUAAAUUACUCUAGGGAUAACAGCAUAAUACAAAAGAGUUUGUGACCUCGAUGUUGGACUAGGAAUGUUAUUGUUUAGAAGAUAAUAACAGAGGCUCUGUUCGAGCUUAUUCUCCU